rnacentral:rRNA from 1 species
AUGUCAACUAUAUUGAUAAUCACAAACACAUUAUCAUUGGCCCUACAACGCAAGAAUCAGGACAUUGUGAAUGCCACAAAUUGUGUGAAUUCAACCAAAGCCUCCUUGAAUCUAAGGGGAAAUGGAUGGGAAUCUAUCCUACAAGAAGCAUCUGUAUUUUGUGACAAGCAUGACAUUUCCAAGUUGGAAAUGGAAGACCAAUAUGUGAAUCCAAAGAAGCCACGGCAAAAAAUAGGUAUCACUAAUAGGCAUCAUUAUGAAGUGGAUUGUUUUAAUGAUGUUAUUGAUUGGCUGCUUCAAGAACUUGAUAAUCGGUUCAAUGAGAAAAAUUCAGAACUACUUGUUUGCUCAACGGCUUUGAGCCCAAAUGAAUCAUUUCGUGAUUUCAACUUAGAGCAUUUGAUGAGUCUAGCUAAACUUUAUCCAAAAGGUUUCGAUGAUGGAGAACUAAGGGACCUUAGACAUUGA